rnacentral:rRNA from 1 species
AUUGAACGCUGGCGGCAGGCUUAACACAUGCAAGUCGAGCGGGGGAAGGUAGCUUGCUACCGGACCUAGCGGCGGACGGGUGAGUAAUGCUUAGGAAUCUGCCUAUUAGUGGGGGACAACAUCUCGAAAGGGAUGCUAAUACCGCAUACGUCCUACGGGACAAAGCAGGGCAUCUUCGGACCUGGCGCUAAUAGAUGCGCCUAAGCCGGGUUAGCUAGUUGGGGGGGUAAAGGCCUACCAAGGCGACGAUCUGUAGCGGGUCUGAGAGGAUGAUCCGCCACACUGGGACUGAGACACGGCCCAGACUCCUACGGGAGGCAGCAGUGGGGAAUAUUGGACAAUGGGGGGAACCCUGAUCCAGCCAUGCCGCGUGUGUGAAGAAGGCCUUAUGGUUGUAAAGCACUUUAAGCGAGGAGGAGGCUACUCUAGUUAAUACCUAGGGAUAGUGGACGUUACUCGCAGAAUAAGCACCGGCUAACUCUGUGCCAGCCGCCGCAGUAA